GACGAACGCUGGCGGCGUGCCUAAUACAUGCAAGUCGAACGCAGUUGCGAACGGUUGAGUAACGCGUAGGUAACUGCCUGGUAGCGGGGGAUAACUAUUGGAAACGAUAGCUAAUACCGCAUACUACCAGAUGGACCUUCGUUGUAUUAGCUAGUUGGUGAGGUAACGGCUCCCAAAGGCAACGAUACAUCACUGACAGGGGAGGGUGACCGGACAAACUGGGACGGAGAAACGGCCACGACUCCUACGGGAGGCAGCAGUAGGGAAGCGUCGGGAAUGGGGUGAAGCCUGAUCGAGCAACGCCGCGUGAGUGAAGAAGGUUUUCGGAUCGUAAAGCUCUGUUGUUAAGGAAGCGGUACUUAGCCAGAAAGGGACGGCUAACUACGUGGCAGCAGCCGCGGUAAUAC
rnacentral:rRNA from 1 species